GACAGUAUAUCUCAAUGGUAGAGGGUGUGCUUAGCAUGCAUGAGGUCCUGGGUUCAAUCCCCAGUGCCUCCA
rnacentral:tRNA from 1 species